rnacentral:hammerhead_ribozyme from 1 species
GCACUGCUGACGAGUCCAAACCAGAACGAAACAGCUGUCUAGUGC